UACAGAGGUCUCAAGCGUUGUUCGGAUUCAUUGGGCGUAAAGGGUGCGUAGGUGGUGCCGCAAGUCAGGUGUGAAAUCCCGGGGCUCAACCCCGGAACUGCACUUGAUACUGCGGUGCUCGAGGACUGGAGAGGAGAUCGGAAUUCAUGGUGUAGCAGUGAAAUGCGUAGAUAUCAUGAGGAAGACCAGUGGCGAAGGCGGAUCUCUGGACAGUUCCUGACACUGAGGCACGAAGGCCAGGGGAGCAAACGGG
rnacentral:rRNA from 1 species